rnacentral:rRNA from 1 species
UACGGAGGGUGCAAGCGUUAUCCGGAUUCACUGGGUUUAAAGGGUGCGUAGGCGGGCAGGUAAGUCAGUGGUGAAAUCUCCGAGCUUAACUCGGAAACUGCCGUUGAUACUAUUUGUCUUGAAUAUUGUGGAGGUAAGCGGAAUAUGUCAUGUAGCGGUGAAAUGCUUAGAUAUGACAUAGAACACCGAUUGCGAAGGCAGCUUGCUACACGAUCAUUGACACUGAGGCACGAAAGCGUGGGGAUCAAACAGG